UGUUUCUGUGGUUUAACAUGAGUGCCCCAAGUCAGACAUUUCUGCACCAAAAAUUAUUGAGUCAGGCAAAUUUGCAGAGGUACCAGGACAGCUCCUGGGAAAAUAAUAUUGUCUCCUACUCAAUUUUUUCCCUUUUGGGUUUUGCUACUUUUCAUACUUCACUUGCGGAUUAAGAUAAUAGUGGAAGGAGCAAGAAACAGUCCUAAGAGCGCUACAGGGGAACUCACCAUGAGGACAUCAGGAGUAGAACCUGGAAUCAGUAUCAAGUUUCAACUCCCAUGCGUUGGGGGAAAGUGAGAGGGUUGGUUUUAACAGUGUACAGUUGUAAACAAAAGUCCCUCCUUAGCCAGACAUGGUGGAGGGUAUGGAUUGGGAGCGAGCUGGUGGCAAACAGAGGAGCCAUUCCUUGCUUGGGCUCCUAAAGUGACAGCUACCAUAGCACUGUGUGGACUGGGGUCAACCUUCCUCUGCUGCUUCAGCCCUCCUCGAGUUGUGGACCUGUGAAGACAUGACUGCAGCAGCAGACACAGAUGUAACAGAUUGCACAGGGCCAGUGUUCAACAGGGACAUCAUGUGGCAGUGACAGAAGUGACUGAGGUGGGAAGGAAGCCUGCUGUGAACUGAUUACAUUCACCAGUUCUCUCUUUGCCUGGAGUUUGGAAGCAGACACCUCUGGGUUCUUGCACCAUUUGGAAGUGGGAAGGAAAGAGGUGUUAGGCAUCCUGGAAAUUUGGCCAGGGGAAUAUUUUGAAUAAUUUGAACCUCAAACUGAAGAGGCAGGUCCCACCCAUUGCAACAUUACAUAACUGGACAAAAUUGAAUGUCAUCAUGGCCUUACUUGGAAGAUCAUAUGUGAGGGUGAUGGUCAUUUAACAGGUGGCAGCAAUGUGGGCAGAGGAAGACUCAACUCCUUCCAACAACACAGGGCAGAAAUUAAUACUUACAAAGGUAAACUUGAAUUUAAAAAAAUAUUAUGGCGAAUCUACUCUGAUGAAGAAUGGAGAAAUGUGGUAUAUGUUUCAGACCAGAUAGAUUUCUAUCAGAAGUAUUUUUUAAAAUAUUUACGUUAGGGUGCUUAAAUAUAUAACCUUCUAUGAUCUAGAACACUGACAAAUAUGUACAACCCUUCUCCAGCAAUCCUGAGUAGUGUAUAUAGUACACAACUGCCCCAUUUUAGUAUUGCAUUGCAAAAUAACAAACACAAAAUUUUUAAAUAUUUUUAGUUCAUAUUUUUUAAUGUUUAAAAACUAUGUUAACAGAGCAGUUAUAGAACAGAACUUCUUAUAUUUCUUUCUUUACACCACACCCUGAAAAAAAAAAAAACCCAGUUCUAUUUGAUUAACUAUGAAUAGCAAAGUUUUGUGACUUGUGACUCACUUAAAUCACCCAUCUGAAAUUCAUUUACAAGGUUUUUACAUUACCAAAACAGUAGUGUGGUACAUGUACUGGACUCAGAUGAAGUCUAAAGUACACUGGACUCUAGAGAGUGGAUUACAUACCAAUGACCAAGAUUCAAGUGUUUGGAGAAAAAAUUACCUUAGACAGUCUAUGUUGGCGUCAACACUAAAAUAAAAGGCAAACAUGCAGGACUUUCAAAGCUUGAUUAGAUAAUGGUUCUUUGUUUUCCUUCCUUCAAAUUUGUGCUCAUAAUUAAUAUUCAGGUUCCCUCUCCCCGCUUUCAUAGAUCCCAAAGUUUGAGAAAUGCAGCAAUUCAAUUGUGAAAAAAACAUUCUUCUCCCCAGCUUCUGUUUUCAUAUGUACUGUGUAGUGGUAUCAGUGUUAACAAUGGAAGAUCAUUAUGAAGAAACAAUUUGUCGUUUGGGUAUAUCUGUUUCUAUAUGACAAGGAUUUGUGUCUAAAUAUUCCUUAUUUGUAUCUCAGAGGACUAUCUGUUAAAUAAUUGAUCUUAAUGCCAGCAUAAGAAAUCAAUGGAACUAUUUCUCAGACAUUUCUUUCUCUAAAUUAAGUAGGGUUUCAGGUUCCAAGUUUACAUUCAGAGAACUAUGUUACCUGGGAGAGAAUGUAAAUUUUUCUAAUUCCCAAACAAAACCACUAAUAUCUAGGAAACAUUUAUUGUUUAUAUGCAGAUCCUAGAGACUUCUAUUUCAGUGUGGAUCAACAACUUCAAAAAUAUACAGCCUCCUAUUUAUUUACAAUAAUAUUUACAUACAAAUGAAGUAUUUCCUGCAAUAAGCCUCAGCUGCAUAGAUUCUUCCUUUAAAAAUGUAAAUUUGAGCCUGUACACAGAUGGGCCCAGUUUCAUAGCCCUUCCUUAGAUAAAAGCCUAAAGAAGGAAAAUGUCUGCACCUUGUGAACUUUACAUAUUUUCCAAGAACUUUCUCUUUGAGAUUUAGUGAUAGUUUUUAGUUUUUAGACACCCCACCUUCAGUUUGUACCCGAAAGCUUUAUCUCGUUACAAAUAAUUCACUGUAAUUUAGGGGAAGUAUGUCCUGUUGCUAAAGGAUUCUCAAACCUGCCAUCCCCAAGGAAAAUCAUGUAUUAGUAUUGCUAAAUGAUGGUCUGUAUCUUCUUUGUUUUGAAGGUGGCUAGAUGUUUGCUGUAAACUUGAAUGGGAGAAUUAUAUUCUUAAAGUUUACACCCCCUCUAUGCCUAAAGCCAUUUAAAUUGAUAAACUGAGAGAGACUAAUAGGUUUUGCUCUAAGGUAUAAAAUCCAAUAUCUGAUUAUAUUCCUGACCUCCCCCCAACUCCAACUAAAUGUGCCAUAGUCCAACACUGUGCCCCACUGAAUUGGAACUCAGUAUUUCAUUCUUUUGAGAGCAGUUUGUAGCUCCUUAAGCAGAGCAGACCUUUCAGUAGAGAAUUUGCUUUAAAAGGAGGACAGGAUUAUCACCACACGAUUAACACAAACACUGGAGAACUUCUGACACAAAUUCAGUAUUUCUUCUAAGUCUGCAUUUACAAAAGGUCUUUUAUUUUAAUUUCUUUCACAACUGCCCCACCCCCACCAAAGCCUCACUUUCAUUUCCUCACAGCUUUAAAAAAUAAAAUAUCGUGCCUCAGCCCGAGGUAACACCAAGUGCAGGCAGGCUGUGUUUGGGAAUUUGCACCUGCACUCACUGGUAUUUUCAACGAGAGGGGGAUGACCAGGUGGCAGCGCUGGAUUCACUCACUGUCUUGCCAUUGCAGAGACCCCUGCUGCCAGGCUCCUUUCCUCCCCUCCCUAAAGCCUGGCUCCUGUAUCUUGCACCAUGAGUCCUAGGAAUCAUCUGGUGGGGUAGGACUAAUGGGAAGUAAAAGGGAGACUCAUUGGCUUAGGGUGGUUCUCAAACUUGAUGUACUUUAGAAUCAUUUGCUGAGUCCCUCCCUGACAGCUUCUGACUUCACCAAGUCUGGGAGGGGGCUGAGAAUCUGCAUUCUAAUAAGGUCCCCAAUGAUGCUGAUGCUAUUGGUCUAGGGGCCACACUUUGAGAACCACUGGAUUAGAGGCAUGAAUCAAGCUCUAGAAAGCAGUCAGUUCCAGGGUAACAGUCUUAGAUGCUCUCCGAAGCACUGAGGAAUCUUACCACAACCCUGUGUCCCACCACAAGCCCUGUCACCAUCACCCAUCUGGGUGCUUUUCUCAACAGGGUCUGUAACUGUAAAAAAGGAAAGUGGGUGGAGAGCUUUUUUUUCCCCUUUUUUCUUGUUUCUAACCUCCCAGCUGAUUCCUGGAGAGUUAAAACAUGGUUACUAGCACUAAAAACAUUAAAAGUGCUGUGCGCUGGCCUCAAUGACUGGUGCAUGGGAGAAGCUCUGCAGCAGUAUCCUUUUCUGUGGUGGGCAGGGCAGGAGAUGAACCAUAGGAGCCAAAAGUCAGACAAACAGAAGGAGGCAGACCAAGCCUGAACCCUCCAGACAACAGCAGAGGUACCAGCUGAGGGAUGUCCCUGGAGGUUUCUGACCCACGAGAGGCCCCCUCACCCUCCUUCACCCUCCUCCUACCAGCAAGCUCUCCGGCAGUCAUGGACUUAUUCCUUCCCAUUUUUUGCUGGACACCAUGUUUCAGGCCACUCUGGUCACCCGUAGCCUGGUGGCAUCUCUACCCCUACUGUCCAGUAGGUGGGAUGUGGCUGGGAUGGACAGUCCAGAUUCUACUAACAGGCAACUCUGAACAAACACCCUCCCUGGAAACAAUAUUAUAUUUGAUGGUUAGAUUCUUUAGCAAACCUAUUACAUUAUUCGAUUUCAGCUAACCUAUGGGUUUGAUCAUCUUUUCCAGCUGCUCUAGGGGCCUAACCACCAUGGAUAACGUGGUCUCUAAAGGAAAAUACAUUCCAGGUUGCAAACAACCAACUGACAACCUUUUGGAAUAUGAUCUCCUUAUACACUGGGGCUGCCUGUGCCUAAACAGAGUAGAUUUCCCUCCUGUGCGUAUUUCAUCAGCCCCACUUCCAAUAAGUAACAUUAAGUAAAUUAGGGAUUGACAGUAUUCUGUAUUACAAUAACUAGAGAACAGUUCUAAAUCCAAAGUGUGAAACUGGCACUGUUCACUAGAAUAGAGAUCCUACCUAUCAAAGGAAAACGUGCUGCUCCCCAUGCCUAGGGUAUAAUAUUCUUUAAUCUACUAAUUUAGCAGAAAAACUUCCAUAGCACUUGACUGUGCUGUUUAAGUUUGACCUAACAUCUGUGAUACAUGUAUUUUUGGCUACCAAUUAACUAUUCUGAAUAAGAAUAAGAGCAGUAUACUUUACAGCUAAUCCCACACAAAGGAUGUAACUUAUCAGUGAUAUUUGACAAAUUAUGGUAGGGUCUAUUAUAUUCAGUCAACAACAAAUUUAGAUAAACACACAAAGGUUUUUAAAAAUAUGUGUGGUAUCACACAGAUCAACAACACUGUGCCUCCUCUAAAUAAAUCUAUUUUAAAUAAAUAUUCCUUGUAUUGACACGUGAAACCCAGAGGCCCAAAAAUAUCACUACACAUCCCAGUUAAUGAUAAGGUUCUAAAUUGACUUUGUGAGUGUAAAAUGAAUUGCUAUAAAGUAACGAGGAAAAUAGAAAGUAGCAUAAUAUAGCUUACAAACUAAAUUAUGUAUUUUUAAAGGUAAGGUCAUCCCACUACCUGGCUAUUUCAUUACUUGGUGCUCUAGACAAGCUCCCAAGAACCAACUGAAUCUUGGCUUCUUCUGUUUCUGUUGUUGCUAAUAUGGAAAACAUUGCUGAAAAGGACAGAGAUGGCCAUGGAUAUGGCUAGGUUAGGUAUUCAUAUCCAAAUAUCUGAACUCUAACCUAAUGUGGAUAUGAUUCUGUAGCAUUAUAUUAAAGGCUAUGAUGAUGCAAUGCAGGAAAUAACCUUUCAUUCUCCCCCCAAGAGGAUCACGACAGGUGCUUCAAUGCCUGCCUUACCUAUGGGACAUUAGUGUGAUUCUCAGUGAGAGUGAAGGCCUUUGGGGAUUUGAGUCAGGAAGGGAACAUGGCUAAGUGCCUGGAAACUCUGCCAACAGUCUGCAGUUAGAUUCUAUUUAUCUCUGGAUAAGAAAUCUGUGCUCAAUGAACUUAUGUGUUUGGAAAAUUCAACCAGAAUAUAGAGGAAACAUAAGUCCUGUUUCAAGAGACCAGCUCACGGAGCAUGCACAUUUCUCACCAUAGGCAAGCUAUGGACAAUUCAAUCACAGGGGAUGGCCCAACUUAGGGGAAUGCAGUUCUGGGUUUCCUUGCUAUCCCUAUUCCUUUUUCAGCUACAAACUCUCUUCUUUUUCAUUCUCUUCAGUUUCCUCGUGCUCCCUUUAGGAGAGAGACUAGGGUAAGAGUACCAGGCAACUCUGUCCUCCUGCAUGGACAGUUGAGAUGGGCAGUAAUGGCACAGUCCUUGGUUGGGGGAGAGAAGAGGAGACAGCACAGACACUGAGACCCCCUUGUCUUUCUCAUCUGGGGGAAGGAAGGUACUCAGUGAUUCUGUCAGAAGCUCUUCACAAAGACUAUCUCUUAGGGUUUUGUUUUUUUUUUUUU